rnacentral:miRNA from 1 species
GAUUAACCAGAUUAUGUUAGGUGGUCUAUUAACCAAGAAUUUUUGGUUAAUAAUCCACCUAACAUAAUCUGAUU